AUUGAACGCUGGCGGCAGGCCUAACACAUGCAAGUCGAGCGAGCGGCGGACGGGUGAGUAAUGUCUGGGAACCUGCCUGAUGGAGGGGGAUAACUACUGGAAACGGUAGCUAAUACCGCAUACCAUCAGAUGUGCCCAGAUGGGAUUAGCUAGUGGGUGGGGAAAUGGCUAACCUAGGGGACGACCCCUAGCGGGUCUGAGAGGAUGACCAGCCACACUGGAAAGAGGACACGUUCAAGCCUCCUACGGGAGGCAGCGUUGGGGAAUAUGGCACAUGGGGCGCAGGCCUGAUGCAGCCAUGCCGGGUGUGUGAAGAAGGCCUUCGGGUUGUAAAGCACUUUCAGCGGGGAGGCGUUACCCGCAGAAGAAGCACCGGCUAACUCCGUGCCAGCAGCCGCGGUAAUA
rnacentral:rRNA from 1 species